rnacentral:rRNA from 1 species
GACGAACGCUGGCGGCGUGCUUAACACAUGCAAGUCGAGCGGUAAGGCCCUUUCGGGGGUACGACGAGCGGCGAACGGGUGAGUAACACGUGGGUGACCUGCCCUCAGCUCUGGGAUAAGCCUGGGAAACUGGGUCUAAUACUGGAUAUGACUCCACGGUGCAUGUCGUGGGGUGGAAAGCCUUGUGCGGCUGAGGAGUGGGCCCGCGGCCUAUCAGCUUGUUGGUGGGGUGANGGCCUACCAAGGCGACGACGGGUAGCCGGCCUGA